GAUGAAGAACGUAGCGAAAUGCGAUAAUUAAUGUGAAUUGCAGAAUUCCGUGAAUCAUCGAGUCUUUGAACGCACAUUGCGCCUCAUGGCAUUCCGUGAGGCAUGCCCAUCUCAGCGUUAGAAAAUAUUCUCAAAUUUUAGUUUUGUGCUAAAAUUUGGAUCAUGUAAAGGAAGCUAUUACUAUUAUUGUGAUCGCUCUUUGGAAAUUGAUAGGUCUUUGAGUUGCUACUCAUAGAACGUGAUGAAUCUUUCUUCGUUCUAUUGUAAUUCACUCUGGUAGUCCUAAAACUUGUAUGCCUGUGGCAUAUCUUGUAAUUUGACCUGAGAUUGGGUAGGGAUACCCGCUGAACUUAAGCAUAUCAAUAAGCGGAGGA
rnacentral:misc_RNA from 1 species